GAUGAACGCUGGCUACAGGCUUAACACAUGCAAGUCGAGGGGAAACGACGGGGAAGCUUGCUUCCCCGGGCGUCGACCGGCGCACGGGUGAGUAACGCGUAUCCAACCUGCCUCUGACUGAGGGAUAACCCGUCGAAAGUCGGCCUAAUACCUCAUGGUAUCGUCUGCGGGCAUCCAACGACGAUUAAAGAUUUCAUCGGUCAGGGAUGGGGAUGCGUCUGAUUAGCUUGUUGGCGGGGUAACGGCCCACCAAGGCUACGAUCAGUAGGGGUUCUGAGAGGAAGGUCCCCCACAUUGGAACUGAGACACGGUCCAAACUCCUACGGGAGGCAGCAGUGAGGAAUAUUGGUCAAUGGGCGAGAGCCUGAACCAGCCAAGUAGCGUGCAGGAAGACGGCCCUAUGGGUUGUAAACUGCUUUUAUGCGGGGAUAAAGUGAGGGACGUGUCCCUCAUUGCAGGUACCGCAUGAAUAAGGGCCGGCUAAUUCCGUG
rnacentral:rRNA from 1 species